AAUGAAGUGUCUGAAAAAGAGUUAUUUUGAUAGAAUAAAACAUGUGUAUUAUCACCUUCAUUA
rnacentral:tRNA from 1 species